rnacentral:rRNA from 1 species
CCCUAUGGGGUGCAGCAGGUGCGAAAACUUCGCAAUGUGGGAAACCACGACGAGGGUAAUCCAAGUGCUUGCACAAUGUGUAGGCUGUUUCCAUGCCUAAAAAGCAUGGAGAGUAAGGGCUGGGUAAGACGGGUGCCAGCCGCCGCGGUAAUACCCGCAGCCCGAGUGGUGGUCGUUAUUAUUGGGCCUAAAACGUCCGUAGCCGGCCCGGUAAAUUCGUGGGGAAAUCGGUCAGCUCAACUGACCGAAGUCCGCGGAGACUGCCGGGCUUGGGACUGGGUGAGGUCAGAGGUACUUCAGGGGUAGGGGUAAAAUCCUGUAAUCCUUGAAGGACCACCAGUGGCGAAGGCGUCUGACUAGAACGGAUCCGACGGUAAGGGACGAAGCCCUGGGGCACAAACGGGAUUAGAUACCCCGGUAGUCCAGGGUGUAAACGCUGUGGGCUUGGUGUUGGGAGUCCCACGAGGGCGCCCAGUGCCGGAGAGAAGUUGUUAAGCCUACUGCCUGGGGAGUACGCUCGCAAGAGUGAAACUUAAAGGAAUUGGCGGGGGAGCACCGCAACGGGUGGAGCGUGCGGUUUAAUUGGAUUCAACGCCGGAAAACUCACCGGGAGCGACGGUUACAUGAAGACCAGGUUAAAGGCCUUGUCUGAUUUUCCGAGAGGUGGUGCAUGGGCC